rnacentral:rRNA from 1 species
GAUGAACGCUGACAGAAUGCUUAACACAUGCAAGUCGACUCGAGUCUUCGGACUUGGGUGGCGCACGGGUGAGUAACGCGUAAAGAACUUGCCUCUUAGACCGGGACAACAUCUGGAAACGGAUGCUAAUACCGGAUAUUAUGGUUUUUUCGCAUGGAGGAAUCAUGAAAGCUAGAUGCGCUAAGAGAGAGCUUUGCGUCCCAUUAGCUAGUUGGUGAGGUAACGGCCCACCAAGGCAAUGAUGGGUAGCCGGCCUGAGAGGGUGAACGGCCACAAGGGGACUGAGACACGGCCCUUACUCCUACGGGAGGCAGCAGUGGGGAAUAUUGGACAAUGGACCACAAGUCUGAUCCAGCAAUUCUGUGUGCACGAUGACGUUUUUCGGAAUGUAAAGUGCUUUCAGUCGGGAAGAAGUCAGUGACGGUACCGACAGAAGAAGCGACGGCUAAAUACGUGCCAGCAGCCGCGGUAAUACGUAUGUCGCAAGCGUUAUCCGGAUUUAUUGGGCGUAAAGCGCGUCUAGGCGGCAAGGAAAGUCUGAUGUGAAAAUGCGGAGCUCAACUCCGUAUGGCGUUGGAAACUGCCUUACUAGAGUACUGGAGAGGUAGGCGGAACUACUAGUGUAGAGGUGAAAUUCGUAGAUAUUUGUAGGAAUGCCGAUGGGGAAGCCAGCCUACUGGACAGAUACUGACGCUAAAGCGCGAAAGCGUGGGUAGCAAACAUG